rnacentral:other from 1 species
UGUUGUCUGCCCGGUUCGCCGACUGACGCUUUUAUAACCCUACAUUUUUUUGAUUUCGGGAACUCGAUGCUCCGACGCAGGAUUGCAGACCUCCCGCCAUGCCCUUGGCGCAUUCGCGCCGACGUGCAGUUGGUGGACGAUGGGAGCGAGAAACCGUCGGGCGGGUACCCACCUGCUUUUUGUGGGCAGGUUAUCAAAAGCUCGAUACGACCGGGCGGGCGCAU